rnacentral:tRNA from 1 species
UAAGACAUAAUUAAACAAUAAUAUAAGACUUUUAAUCUAACAUCGUAGAAAACACUACUGUCUUAA